rnacentral:rRNA from 1 species
GACGAACGCUGGCGGCGUGCCUAAUACAUGCAAGUAGAACGCUGAAGGAGGAGCUUGCUUCUCUGGAUGAGUUGCGAACGGGUGAGUAACGCGUAGGUAACCUGCCUGGUAGCGGGGGAUAACUAUUGGAAACGAUAGCUAAUACCGCAUAAUAUUGACUAUUGCAUGAUAGUCAGUUGAAAGGUGCAGCUGCACCACUACCAGAUGGACCUGCGUUGUAUUAGCUAGUUGGUGGGGUAACGGCUCACCAAGGCGACGAUACAUAGCCGACCUGAGAGGGUGAUCGGCCACACUGGGACUGAGACACGGCCCAGACUCCUACGGGAGGCAGCAGUAGGGAAUCUUCGGCAAUGGACGGAAGUCUGACCGAGUAACGCCGCGUGAGUGAAGAAGGUUUUCGGAUCGUAAAGCUCUGUUGUAAGAGAAGAACGAGUGUGAGAGUGGAAAGCUCACACUGUGACGGUAUCUUACCAGAAAGGGACGGCUAACUACGUG